rnacentral:rRNA from 1 species
UACAGAGGGUGCAAGCGUUGUUCGGAAUUAUUGAGCGUAAAGCGCGUGUAGGCGGCCAGCCCAGUCAAAUGUGAAAGCCCUCGGCUUAACCGAGGAAGUGCACCCGAAACUAGCUGGCUUGAGUACCGAAGAAGAUAACGGAAUUCCCGGUAUAGAAAUGAAAUUCGUAGAUAUCGGGAGGAACACCAGCGGCGAAGGCGGCCAUCUGGACGGAUACUGACGCUGAAACGCGAAAGCAUGGAGAGCAAAC